CGAUGUACAAAGUAUUCAAGCAGCCAAACAGAGCAGCGAAAGGAAAAGGAAGAGCAUGUGUAUAAGGUGCUUCAAUCCUUGCUCGAUUUAUAAUCUGGGCUCAAGGUACAACGUGAUGUACGUUGAGAAAAAUAAGUUAUGUAUUUUUAGAGUAAGAAAGGUUUUAUUGUGAUGAAAAAUGAGACUUUUUUUUCGAAUGAAGGCUUGAUUAGACAGCAGAUGUAAUUGUUGGAAAUGAGGUUGGGUGAAUUAGAGAUAUAAGGAGAUACGGAAGAGUUGCAUCCACCAAUUAACAAAGUUUGAUAAAUAAGCAAAUAAAAGCAACUUUGCAACGUUGAAAAGGGAUUGAACAAUGAUGAAUACGUUUCGGCAGACAGUAUAAAUAGGCAUACCUACAUCUAUAUAUGGGUAUGUAGUUAUGCAUCGGAAAACUGGAUAAUGCUAAUUCUCAAUUUUCCCAGCUUCUUUCGCAUCGUCAAGCGCUAUCAUCGUCGUGAAAUCGAGUCUGGAAACAGAGGAAGAAGAGCAAGAGGAGAACGAGGGAGAAUACUAUCUCUUGGGCCAAUGUAUUCCUGUCUCUAUCUUUGUUAGCUCUUUUGCCACAAGAAGCAGCACAGGCUUGUUUGGGCAGAGCUGAGUACGAAAGCAUAAUAAGCGAAUAUGCCAAGCAAGUAAACGAGUGACUCGUAAUUCCGUGGUAUAGGUAUUUUACUCCUUAUUUAAUAGAAUGAACCCUCGGAGCAAUAUCGUCCAACCGGAAAAACUCAUCGGAAACUAUAAAAAGGCUUAAUUGAAGAUGGAUUAAUAAAAAAAAGAAAUUGCUAAAAUUCCUUUAAUGAAAAAUAAUCGCAAAUCUUCCUGUUAGUUUGGCCUAAUUACUGUUGCUAUAAUGCAUUGGAUAUGAUAGUGUACAUAUGUAUACAUUAAUGAAAAGGAAACAGUUAAUUGUAAUUGAUCCAGCAAAACUCGUGGCCAGUUAUGGUAAAUAAAAGUUAAAUAACCCACUGCACUUUUACUGCACUCUGUACAUCCGUUUGUAGUGUAGAAUAGAAUACAGCAGAUGUGGUCAUUAUUUCGGGUACUUACUAUGUAGCUAUUUUUUCAUUUCUUUUUCAAUUUAAGUUUUAAGUACGUGAAUAGGAAAAAAUUUUUCAGUAAUCCUCUCAACAGUGUUAAAUAAAAACAGAAAGAGUGCAGUCGUAUUAUGGAAAAGUUACACAUCGAAUCUGAUACUUUUUAAAUUAGAUCAUAAAAAAGUUACAUCGCUCCAUCGUGUACUUUUUUCCGAGAGUUAAAUU